UACGGAGGGUGCAAGCGUUAUCCGGAUUCACUGGGUUAAAGGGUGCGUAGGCGGGCAGGUAAGUCAGUGGUGAAAGCCCAGUAGCUCAACUAUGGAACUGCCAUUGAUACUGCAAGGCUUGAGUACAGACGAGGUUGGCGGAAUGGAUGGUGUAGCGGUGAAAUGCAUAGAUACCAAUCCAGAACUCCGAUUGCGUAGGCAGCUAACUAGGCUGUAACUGACGCUGAGGCACGAAAGCGUGGGGAGCAAACAGG
rnacentral:rRNA from 1 species